UCAAAAUAUUGGCGUUUGUAAUCAUGAAAAAGACGACAACGAGGACGCCUUUCCAGAAUCUAAGAUUCUUGAUAUUUCUCAACAAAGUGUUGGCUCUGAUUUCGUGUAGACUGAUGAACGGCCGCUUUAAACGAAGCAACGCCUGGAGUCAUUAUUAUUGUGCAUUAUGGUUUUUGCUUCAUUGUGCAUACUCGAGCGUAUACUACUACACGUCGUGCACCGCUCUGCCUACUAAAAAAGCUGAGAAGGGUUUCGUACUUUCCAUCGUGCGGUUUAGUGCGUACUUUGUCUCGCUGCUGCCUUAUCAUGCUGUGGCAAUCUUGUACGAGCAAGAUUUCAUUAAGUUGUCUGAUAAACUCGAGACGUACGACGAUAAGGCGACGGAAUUGGGACAUCCAAGAAAGGACCAUCACGUAUUUAUAUGGCUGUAUUUCUUGUACACGUUCACCACGAUAAGCAUAAAAGCGUAUUAUGCCAUAAGCGGCAGCCUCGAGGGUGGAACGAGCGCAAUAGUCGUCACGUUGUUCGAGUUCGUCGUUCCCAUUGUCAUUGGCACUUACAGCGUUUUCUUAACCGGCAUAUUUCUCGACCUGAUACGUCAACGUUUCCGUCAUCUGAAUGAAGCCAUAGUCCCUCGUGUCUCGCAGUUACCAAUCACGGGACUACGGGGCGUGAUCACGCUCUAUGAUGUGCGUUAUUUGCAUAGCGUGCUCCUCGAUAGCGCGAAAUUGAUAGACAUGCUCUAUGGGAUAGGCACUUUGAUCGUGUUUGGAUCCAUACUGUUGGAAUUCGUCUCCGUCAUAUACAUGUUCAUAACAGGAGUACAGGACAACGCGAUGGUAACGAUGAUGGAUUUGCUCUUUCAAGUCAUCUACCUAUUUGCAAUGUAUCACUUCACAACCUAUGAGGCGAAUCGCGUUGAAGAAGGUGUAGCAAGGUAUGGUUUGUCUUUCCAGAACGCGAAAUCUCGCUUGGACAAAAUUGAGAUGAUGCUGUACUUUUAUCAUAAGAGAUUCUCUUUCACGGCCGCGGAAUUCUUCAUACUGGAUUUAACGAUACUUGUUUCGAUUGCUUCCACAGUAGCGACAUACAUGACUUUAAUAAUAUAAAAUUUGCAAGGAGCUGAAAAACUUGUAGAGAAAAAAAUAAGUUUGUAAAGAAAACUCUUUAUGAUCGGAGUAUGAAUCAAAAUUUCAUCAAAGAUCAUGCAAAAUGGUACUUUAAUGAGGACAGCAAGGAUUUUAUUCAUUAUAAACCUUAGAUGUACGAGAGAAGUAAAAUUAUAUAUAUAUAUUUAACGAAUAAGAUAAUAAAAUAUCAAAACGUAUUAACACCGAGAGC